GUGUGAUAAAACGAGUAUUCCAUGUACGAGGAAAAAUAUGAAUAACAUUGUCAAGUUUAGUUAUGUUAUGAUCAUUUUUCUAUCCCUAUUUUUCGUUGUAGCCGAUGCUUACGGUGAAAAAUGUGGUUCAAGCCCUGAUUGCGAAAUUUAUAAAUGUAUUCCCCCUGCAAAGCCAAAAUGUGUUCUUUUUGGAUGCAUGUGCAUCACUUAAGUUGAAGAAUGAUUCUGUUACUUCUAAUUCUAUAGCUGCUUUUGCUUGCCACAUUCAAUAUUAUUACACUUAUAACUUCUCUUACACUUUUUGUUUCGUAUCUUUAAUAGGACAAGCAUGACAACACAAGAUAAACGCUUUCGUCACAAAUAACUAUUUGUAUUUUUAAUAUAUUAGUAAACAAUUGUAAUGUGUUACAGUAUUAUAUUAUAUAAAUCUGUGUGGGUCCACUUAUUAUGGUUUAA